AAUGUCAUCUCUGAAGGUAAUUGAAGAAGAAAGCUUUUUCUCCGCAACAAGCUUAUAUAAACUACACAUAUCUCAUACUGGAAUACGAGACUUACCCGACAUAUCAAAGACCUCCAUGAGAGAAAUGUAUCUCGUGAACAACAAAAUCCGUUUCUUUUCCCACAAUUACACGAAACAAGUGUUGCCUGCGUCAAUAGAAAG